rnacentral:rRNA from 1 species
GGAAAAAGGGGGGGAGAAGGGGUGGUGAGGCGGAGGGUGGAAGAGGUAAGCGGAUUGAGGUGGUGUAAAGGGGCCGUAGGGGGAUGUAGAAGUCAGGGGUGAAAUCUCACAGCUUAACUGGGAAACGGCCGUGGAUACUGUAGGGCGUGAGUAAAGUUGAAGUGGCGGGAAUAAGUAGUGUAGCGGUGAAAUGCAUAGAUAUUACUUAGAACACCAAUUGCGAAGGCAGGUCACUAAGAUUUAACUGACGCUGAGGGACGAAAGCGUGGGGAGCGAACAGGAUUAGAUACCCUAGUAGUC